AUCAUCAGUGUAGCAAUACAUUGGUGGUCCUAGUGGCGCACGGGUGAGUAACGCGUGGGUAACCUGCCCUUGAGUUCGGGAUACCCCCUCGAAAGGGGGGCUAAUACCGGAUACGUUCCUCGGAUCGACAGGUCUGGGGAGGAAAGGUGGCGCAAGCUGCCGCUCUUGGAGGGGCUCGCGGCCUAUCAGCUAGUUGGCGGGGUAACGGCCCACCAAGGCUAUGACGGGUAGCUGGUCUGAGAGGACGACCAGCCACACGGGGACUGAGACACGGCCCCGACUCCUACGGGAGGCAGCAGUGGGGAAUUUUCCGCAAUGGGCGAAAGCCUGACGGAGUGACGCCGCGUGUGGGACGAAGGCCUUCGGGUCGUAAACCACUGUCAGUGGGAAAGAAGGGUGUCGGUGCUAAUACCAUCGGCAUUUGACGGUACCUGCAGAGGAAGCCCCGGCCAACUCUGUGCCAGCAGCCGCGGUAAGACAGAGGGGGCAAGCGUUGCUCGGAAUUACUGGGCGUAAAGGGCGCGUAGGCGGGAUGGCAAGUCGGUCGUGAAAUCCUUCGGCUCAACCGAAGAACGUCGAUCGAUACUGCUGUUCUUGAGGGUUGCAGAGGAGACUGGAAUUCCCGGUGUAGCGGUGAAAUGUGUAGAGAUCGGGAGGAACACCGGUGGCGAAGGCGGGUCUCUGGGCAAUUCCUGACGCUGAGGCGCGAAAGCGUGGGGAGCAAACGGGAUUAGAUACCCCGGUAGUCCACGCUGUAAACGAUGACGACUAGGUGU
rnacentral:rRNA from 1 species